CGCGGGGUAGAGCAGUUUGGUAGGUCGCAAGGCUCAUAACCUUGAGGUCACAGGUUCAAAUCCUGUCUCCGCAA
rnacentral:tRNA from 1 species